rnacentral:lncRNA from 1 species
CGCCGCUCAGCUCCACCGCGCGUUCCAGAUCCUCCAGGGCGCCUGCGGGACCGACGAGACGGGCGGGGCGGGGGUCAGCGGAGGCCAGGGCGGCCUUGCCCGAGCCCCAGCCCACCUGCGGCCGCGCGGAUCACCGUGGUUCUUGCGGCUCCCGGGCGUGGCCAUUUACAACCCGCCUCGCACCUGCUAGAGAAAAGACCCCGGCCAUGGAUGGGAGACCUAGGACAAAGAUGGAAAAGAGAAUCAACUCUGCCUUAGGCGAACAAUUUACCAUAAUAUUCUGAGACAGGAGUGGAAUAACACCUCCAGCCAUUACCUGCAAAUGAGAGCUGCUUUAGGCGGGCAUUUGAUCGAGCUUCCUGGACUUUAUCUGUCAAUGACUUCCAGGCAUCUGAAAGGAAAUAAAGAAAACCCGUAAGCCAGAAAAUAUGCACGUAAACCCUUCUUAAUACCAAUGAUGUGCACAAGCACUGCUUAGAAUCCCUACAGUGUGAACACUUGCCCUCCUAGAGCAGUGUUUUGUUAUUUUUCUUAGAGUUUAAGUCAGUUCAUUACAUGUGAAAGGAGCCGAAAAGGUACACUCCCCAGCAGGGCUUCUUUCUGUUGGAGGACACAGAAGCACUAAGGAAAGUCAGACCUUCUGAAAUGAACUCUGAAUCCCCAACGCAUUCACAUCCCUUGAUGGAAGUCUGGGUCUCACACCUGAAUGUUUGGUAUUUUUAUGUUCCCUGUACCCCUAAUCAAAACAGCACUAGUAAUAAUGAUUUAAGCAGGACUGUGGGAAGAUCAUAACCUCUCUGUUCCUUAAAGUUAAGAGGCAGAACUAGAAAAUCCUUACAGUUCCUUCCAGCUCUAACCCAAGAUUCUGUGAUCUUUUCCUGUCUGCUAGGCAUUUCCACAUGGAUUUCUUACAUCACUCCACAUCAAUGUCUUCUGUGGAACCCCCAUACUCCUUACUUAUCUCCUUUGUUCUCCAUGCAUUAUCUUUUGUUUUAGUCACCCAGGCCUGAAUCUUUAGGGUCAUCUUUGACUCUCCCCUCUCCAUAUUCCACCAAGUGUACUCAUUCUUCUUUCCUUUCCUUUCUUUUCCCACCGAAUGUGGGCUUUAUUACCAGACAUCUCUACUCUAGCAAUACUCUCAUUAGUAAACUCUCGUCUUUGAGCAUCUCCAGUUCAUGCUCAAUCUGUCUCAUAUAGAGAGCUUAUCACAUUAUGUUUCCUGAAAUUCUGCUUCUAUUCACUCCCUCAAGUUUUCAAAGUCCUCAAGGUUUGGCACUGAAAGCCCUCUAAAACCUGUGCCCUAUCCACCUUCCCAAUUUUCUCUUUCACUAUUACCUCACAUGGAUUUCAAUGCCAUCUCACCUGACACUACUCUAAACCCACCAAAUGCAGUCCUGCCUUUCUAACUUUGCUUACCUCCCUUCUUCUUCCUAGAGAGCCCUGCAUUCUUCUUUGCCUAACCCAAAUUCCAUUUUCUCCUUUAAUAGAAUCUUCUAUUUAUCUUCAUGGGUUUUUGAUAACCCUAACUCACCCAUGGUGACCUUUCUCUUCUUUGAACUCUUCUAGUACUUACAGCCUAGAGAACAUUUACUAGUCCUUCAAAGGUGGAUGAACACUUAGAUGCUUGCGAUACAAAGAUGAAUAAGAAAAUAAAAUUCCAGCCCUUAUGGAGAGCUCGCUGUUGAGUGAGUGAUAAAAGUAAACAAACACGGACAAAACAAAAUGUAAGCUAUGAGAGAAGAACAUGUAAGAUUCAAAAGGAGGGAGAGGGAGGGCUUAGCUACCUCAGAAGGUCAGGGAAGACCGUCUGAGCUGGAUCUUGAAGGGUGAGCUGGAGCUCACCAGGUGAUUGAGGGCAGGGAGAGAACUCCAGGCAGAGGAGAAAGCACGUGUGAAGGCACACAAGGGAGAGAGAAGGGCACAGAAGGCGCAUGAGGGAAUGGCAAAAAACAAGGCUGGAGGGGGAAGCAGAGUUCUCAGGGGCUCCGCUAAGGUGUGUGCAAUGUUGAAAACAUAAUCUGUAUCAUUAACUUUUCAUGUAAAAUAUGGCUAUUUCUCCAAUAAGACAA